GCCUGCAUGGUGUAACGGUUUGAACAUUGGACUAGGACUCUGAAGACCAGGGUUCAAAUCCCUGUUUGGCCA